rnacentral:rRNA from 1 species
GAUGAACGCUGGCGGCGUGCCUAAUACAUGCAAGUCGAGCGAACAGAUGAGGAGCUGGCUCCUCUGACGUUAGCGGCGGACGGGUGAGUAACACGUGGAUAACCUACCUAUAAGACUGGGAUAACUUCGGGAAACCGGAGCUAAUACCGGAUAAUAUAUUGAACCGCAUGGUUCAAUAGUGAAAGACGGUUUUGCUGUCACUUAUAGAUGGAUCCGCGCCGCAUUAGCUAGUUGGUAAGGUAACGGCUUACCAAGGCAACGAUGCGUAGCCGACCUGAGAGGGUGAUCGGCCACACUGGAACUGAGACACGGUCCAGACUCCUACGGGAGGCAGCAGUAGGGAAUCUUCCGCAAUGGGCGAAAGCUUGACGGAGCAACGCCGCGUGAGUGAUGAAGGUCUUCGGAUCGUAAAACUCUGUUAUUAGGGAAGAACAAAUGUGUAAGUAACUAUGCACGUCUUGACGGUACCUAAUCAGAAAGCCACGGCUAACUACGUG